UGGCGAGUGGCGGACGGGUGAGUAAUGCAUCGGGACCUACCCAGACGUGGGGGAUAACGUAGGGAAACUUACGCUAAUACCGCAUACGUCCUACGGGAGAAAGCGGGGGAUCUUCGGACCUCGCGCGUGUGGACGGACCGAUGUUCGAUUAGCUAGUUGGUGGGGUAAGGGCCUACCAAGGCGACGAUCGAUAGCUGGUCUGAGAGGAUGAUCAGCCACACUGGGACUGAGACACGGCCCAG
rnacentral:rRNA from 1 species